GGUCUUGAAUUCCUGGCCUCAAGGGAUCCUCCUGCUUUGUCCUCCCAAAGUAUGGGAUUACAGGUGUGAGUCACAGUACCCAGCCUUUUUCUAACAAUUUCUUUCAGGGUGAUAUGUUAACAGGAUAUAGGAAAAAGGCUUCACUGUGCAAGACCUCUAAAUACCAAAACAGAGUCGAAACUGUGAAAUCUAUUUCAAUGCAUGAGAGCUCCUGUCGCUCCACAUCCUCAGCAGCACGUGGUGUUCGGUGUUCUGGAUUUUAGACAUUCUAAUAGGACUCAUUAGUUCUAACAGAUUUGUUUGUCAAUUCCUCAAGAUUUUCUACAUCUAAAAUCAUGUCAUCUGCAAAAAGAGCCCAGCUUCCCUGCUGAGGGAAGUGAGGAUAGCGUGCAAGAAGCCCCUGUCCCUGGAGAAAAGGAGAGCGGCUGGUCAAGGACACAGAUGAGGCCAUGCUUUCUGGUGCGAAGAUCCAAAGAAUAUCACGCCGUGAUUCUUCUGCUUCUCUGCAUGAAUCCCAAUCAACCAACCAAUCUCUCUCCUCCUCUCACUCACAGUAUCUUCCUACCAUUACACAGCUGGACCUGGGAUAGUCGGCUGGCCGCAAAGGCCUGGGAAUCAAGGGAAACCGCUUUUCAACAUCCACAUCUAAAGAGAUGACAAGAAUAAUUUCUCAUGUAUCCUAUUUUUUAAUUUUAGAAGCAAUCAUUUCAAAGUUUAACUCUAAGAAUCUCUAGUAAAACUGGCUUAGUCUACAUACAAAUAAAUGUGGGAUAAUAAACAUAUACAAUAGAAAAUUUUAAUGCAGUCAUAAAAAUAGGUGCUUGCCUGUGAAUAGUGCCUAGGAUAGCUGAACAGAUGGGAAGCAGAUGGGAAACCCCAAAGGGGCAAAAUGA
rnacentral:lncRNA from 1 species